rnacentral:rRNA from 1 species
UACAGAGGGUGCAAGCGUUAAUCGGAAUUACUGGGCGUAAAGCGCGCGUAGGUGGUUUGUUAAGUUGGAUGUGAAAUCCCCGGGCUCAACCUGGGAACUGCAUUCAAAACUGCCUUGCUAGAGUAUGGGAGAGGGAAGUGGAAUUUCCGGUGUAGCGGUGAAAUGCGUAGAUAUUCGGAAGAACACCAGUGGCGAAGGCGACUCGCUGGACAAGUAUUGACGCUGAGGUGCGAAAGCGUGGGGAGCAAACAGG